UUGAACGCUGGCGGCAGGCCUAACACAUGCAAGUCGAGCGGUAACACAGAGAGCUUGCUCUCGGGUGACGAGCGGCGGACGGGUGAGUAAUGUCUGGGAAACUGCCUGAUGGAGGGGGAUAACUACUGGAAACGGUAGCUAAUACCGCAUAACGUCGCAAGACCAAAGUGGGGGACCUUCGGGCCUCAUGCCAUCAGAUGUGCCCAGAUGGGAUUAGCUAGUAGGUGGGGUAACGGCUCACCUAGGCGACGAUCCCUAGCUGGUCUGAGAGGAUGACCAGCCACACUGGAACUGAGACACGGUCCAGACUCCUACGGGAGGCAGCAGUGGGGAAUAUUGCACAAUGGGCGCAAGCCUGAUGCAGCCAUGCCGCGUGUGUGAAGAAGGCCUUCGGGUUGUAAAGCACUUUCAGCGGGGAGGAAGGCGGUGAGGUUAAUAACCUCAUCGAUUGACGUUACCCGCAGAAGAAGCACCGGCUAACUCCGUGCCAGCAGCCGCGGUAAUACGGAGGGUGCAAGCGUUAAUCGGAAUUACUGGGCGUAAAGCGCACGCAGGCGGUCUGUCAAGUCGGAUGUGAAAUCCCCGGGCUCAACCUGGGAACUGCAUUCGAAACUGGCAGGCUAGAGUCUUGUAGAGGGGGGUAGAAUUCCAGGUGUAGCGGUGAAAUGCGUAGAGAUCUGGAGGAAUACCGGUGGCGAAGGCGGCCCCCUGGACAAAGACUGACGCUCAGGUGCGAAAGCGUGGGGAGCAAACAGGAUUAGAUACCCUGGUAGUCCACGCCGUAAACGAUGUCGAUUUGGAGGUUGUGCCCUUGAGGCGUGGCUUCCGGAGCUAACGCGUUAAAUCGACCGCCUGGGGAGUACGGCCGCAAGGUUAAAACUCAAAUGAAUUGACGGGGGCCCUCACAAGCGGUGGAGCAUGUGGUUUAAUUCGAUGCAACGCGAAGAACCUUACCUGGUCUUGACAUCCACAGAACUUUCCAGAGAUGGAUUGGUGCCUUCGGGAACUGUGAGACAGGUGCUGCAUGGCUGUCGUCAGCUCGUGUUGUGAAAUGUUGGGUUAAGUCCCGCAACGAGCGCAACCCUUAUCCUUUGUUGCCAGCGGUUAGGCCGGGAACUCAAAGGAGACUGCCAGUGAUAAACUGGAGGAAGGUGGGGAUGACGUCAAGUCAUCAUGGCCCUUACGACCAGGGCUACACACGUGCUACAAUGGCAUAUACAAAGAGAAGCGACCUCGCGAGAGCAAGCGGACCUCAUAAAGUAUGUCGUAGUCCGGAUUGGAGUCUGCAACUCGACUCCAUGAAGUCGGAAUCGCUAGUAAUCGUAGAUCAGAAUGCUACGGUGAAUACGUUCCCGGGCCUUGUACACACCGCCCGUCACACCAUGGGAGUGGGUUGCAAAAGAAGUAGGUAGCUUAACCUUCGGGAGGGCGCUUACCACUUUGUGAUUCAUGACUGGGGUG
rnacentral:rRNA from 1 species